rnacentral:miRNA from 1 species
AAAUGAGACUGAAAUCUAAAGGUG